UGAUCACAUUCUCCAAAAUUGCUGUACUGCUUUGACGAAAGUACAUUUGAACCCUUUUCCAUCUGAUAACUGAGCAUUUUAAAA
rnacentral:snoRNA from 1 species